CAUGCUGACUUUUAUGAGUAGCAACAGACAGGAGUGAGGAGAGGAGAGUGGGCAAUGGGGAAUCACGGCCUAAGAGGAAGAAGGAGACAUGAGUGGCUUCGGCUGCUCAACCCCACUGGGGUGGCUCUGAUAAAACGGCCUCCAGUGGACUUCUCCUGGGAACACUUUUCUAGGGCCUCACAGGUCUCCCAACCUCUUGGUUGCUAUGCCCCUGAAGAACAAUGAAGGAAGGAGUCUGAAUGCUCCUGAGGAAGCAGCCAGCAAACCCAGGCUGAGAAUUCUCAGAGACCGCAGAAAGCGGGGGGUGGUCGGGCUCUAGACAGCCAUUUCUGUUCUGAGGAGGGUGGUCCCAUCAGUCCUCCCUCAGGUGCAUUGCCUUGGCUUUCGAUAGGACCUGGCAUACCUCCCCUAUCUUAAUAUGGGAUGGCCCCCGAAGACCAAAGCUAUCUAUACUGCUGGUGGUGGUCCCCCCAGUUCUCACUUCAUUGCCUUACUUUGAAUCCAGGCAGGUCCUGGGAUCCCUUCAUUUGCUGACCUAACAUUGUCCCUUCAGAACAAAGCCUCCACUUUCUGAUUUCCAGAAGGUAAUUAGGGCACAUGUCUACUGACAGCCUCUCCCAUAGCCUCUCAGUGCUGACAACAGCUCAGGGCAGGAUUCCUCACUAUCUGCACUCUCCUGGUGUCAGCGGACCCUCAGUAUUCACUCUGGGUUCUUGACUUGGCAACUGGUGGGGUCUCAGGUCUGGCCCCUCUAUGGGAUGUCAACCCUUCUGUACGUAAGAAUGCCUUAUCCUCACGAGUUACCUGAGAAGGAAGUGAAGAAGGGCAGUUCCUUUCCCCCUCUUUUAAGGGUUUCCUGGGCUGACAGAAGGAGGUAGAAACUGUAAAGGUCCCUCUUUUCUGGGGUGGGUACAUCUACCCGUGGGAUCUCACUCAAGUUCCUACUGUGACCUGUGAGAGGAUCUGGAUCCCUUUCCUUGAUGACCUCAUACGAUAUAGGUACAUACACCAAGGAUCUCACCUGUCUCCAACCCCCCAAAGAAGGGGGAUCUUCUCAUGUAGUCUCUGUGCAGAGUUCUCUGGACUGAAUAAGGUCCAGGGUCUCUUUGAUGACCCUAUGUUUUGGGGUGGAUUCCUUUCAGUUCUGACUCUGUAUGUCCACAUGGACUCCAGUACCGCCUGGUCACCCUGUCCACUGCUGAAUCUGACUAUGUCCCAAUCCCCUAGGUGCCCAGCGUAGGAAGUGAGCUAGGAAGACUCCUGACCGUCAUUGUCUGGGACCUUUGCCCUUCAGACGUAACUCAAUGACAACUGCCAGGGUCUAGGACUCCUCCUGACUGAACAAAUGCUUUAACUUCCUGAGCCCCAGAGGAGGAAAGGAAAAGUCCCCUCUGCCUGCCAUCCCUUCCCUGGGCCUCUCAGGGCUGACAACAGGGGAGGGGCUCUGUGCAGCCCCUCUGCCAUCAAUCAGUUGGUUGGUCCCAGCAUCCUCACAAGUGCUAGUCUAAUACUGGUUGGUGAUGUGCCUGCUGCCAUCUAUUACCUGGUGUUCCACCUUCCAAUCAAGGCCCCACGUGUCCGAGACACCCAGAAAGGAAGCGAGGCGACACCUCAUCUGCCGGACACGGAGACCUGACCACAGGGGCUUAAUGCUGUGCCACAACCUCUACCCGCGAUCCGGGGAAGCAUGAGCACUCACUCGGGGUCCUCGCCGGGACUCCUACCGGAGUCCCCCGCGGGGCCUGAGGCUCCUUCCUUUGCCCACAGGACACCGCCUGCCUCGGGCUAAGCUCUUGUCUGCCUCAGGCUAAGCUCUCACCUCCCUCAGACUCUGGAGGCUGAAGUCAGUCAGCGAUACUUCCGCCGCCCCUGCCCGAAGCCUCCUGGGGCUCACAGACUGGCCGAGGCUCUCCGCGUCCACUACUGUCUGGGGUCGGUGGGCCCCUCAGGACUCACUCCGGGGGCUUUUUCUGGACUACCAAGAGGUCAAGGGACUCUUAGCCCCGCAACAGAAACGCUGUCACCUCGAUCAGAUCGCAAACAGGAAGUGUGUCGUAGGCCAGCCUGAUAGGCGGGGCCGGGGUUACUGGAGUUGGAUCGGGGCUCUCAUCUAAUGUGUCCCCUCAUUUCUGUGAUACGGGAUCUCCUCAGCUCUCAUUUGGAAUCUUACUUGACUCCAAGCAGAUCCUGGGAAUCCUCCCUCUGCUGAUGUGGUUCCACGCACUUCAGAUCGAAUCCCGUACAGCCCCAGAUCGAAUGCCGCACAGCCAGAUGGUCUUGAAGAGGAAAUCAGGGGCGUCACAUCCGGUUACACCUGCCUGGAGUCUUCUGGGCCAAUAGCGGGGGCAGGGCUGUGCGUGCCAGGCUUUCACGGUGGUGCUUGCUGCUGGUCCCUCGUUAGAGUCCUGCUGACUUCUUGUAGCCUUGGAAUUAAUCCCUCCCUUGAUCCCGUGCCAUGCCUCUCAUGCCAAUGUCCUCAUGCCCCUGGAACCGUCAAGCGGAAUCGAGGGGAUGCUUCAGUUGGGGAGCCCUGCCUGGGUCAGCAGGGCUCAAAGUAGGCACCGGCCCAUGUCUGUGUGACCCACCGCCGUUCUCUGGUUUUGGCUUCUUCUGUCCUCCUUCCUGGGAGUUCUCGUUUUGGCUCCUUUCUUGUGACUUAAUGCUUUCUGGGAAAUGCCGUAUCUUGGCAAACUCUUGGUGACUUUACCUCCUGAAACCCUUGCCAAGUGUGGAAUGGGUCACUUCCCAGCCUUAGUGUGAAAUGAAGCUGGAACGCAAAACAGGCAGUGGCCGGGAUCUCUGUUUACCUUAAAUUAUGCUGGGCCUGACUCAAUAAAGUGAGAAGCUAAACAGUUGAGUUUCUCUGGAUGUGUAGAAGUCAGAGGGAUCUGCUCCUGCUGGCC